CAGCCCAGAACACAAGCCAGUAAGCAACACUCCCCAACAGCCUCUGCUUCAGCUCCUGCCUCCAGGCUUCUGCCUUGAGCUCCUGAUCUGGCUUUUCUCAGUGAUGGACUGUAACCGUGAUCUGAGGCGACCCCUGAGGAAGAAUUGUUUGACCAUCCCAAAGGGAUCAAGGCUCACAGGUUGAGAACCGCUGCUCCAGCCCCUUCGGCUGUUUUUAUUGCAGGCAUUGAAUGAGCUUCGGCUUGGAUGUCAGACUCCCGUUCCACUUCAUAUGUCAGCAUGUCAGUCAUUCGAGGAGUGUCUACAAGCAAGUGACAGAAGGAGGUUCAGCCCUAACUUAUCUAACCCUCUUCAGGCUGAAGACAAAAAGAUAAGACUAAGACGAAGAUCCACCCUUCAUCCAGCUCUCCAGGAAUAACAGUAAUUGGAGGUAGAAUAAAGCAUUAGUCACAGACAGCUCCUGCUUAGGCUCUGAAACCUGUAAGGCAUCUGGAGAAUGCUGGAGUCUGGCUUCCUUGAACUGAGAACAUCAAAGGCAAUGAGAAAGACUGAGAGGUACCUCAUCCUCUGUCAGCCUGCGUCAUCUUCCAAGUCUGAGGGUUCUGCAGGCAGAGAGCCAGGCUGCACGCCACGAACCCGUGGCUACCGACUCACUUCUAACUUUUCUGAGUCCAGAGGUCUCCUUUUGAUCAAGAAGGCUUUAAAUAAUAAGAAAAUGGAACCCUGACACUAUUAGGUCGUUCUGGCUAUUGCUUCUAGCCUUUUGCUGCUAGCAGGUUACAACUUGAAACAACAAAAAGAAACCACAUACUCAACUUAAAUAAUGGUAACAAAAUUGAGUAGGAGGGAGAAAAGGAAACUAUGUAAUAAAAGGAGCGGGAGUAACAAGGACACACCCCCCCACCCCACCCCCACCCUGACCCUAGCCAGUGAUCCAUCCUUACUCCAAUGGUGUCAGGCUCCGUUUUCAAGGAUAGGCAUAGAGAAAAAUCUCCCAAUAGCAGGCUGUGGCGCUAAUACCCAGGACUGUACAAACCGCCAUUGCUCAGAACAGUUAAAGCAGUCUCUAGAAUGGCCUUGACAGGCAAGUAUUUUGAAGGGCCCUGUCAAUUUCAGCCAUGCAGCAGUUUCAUGAAGCUCUAGUGAGCCCUGAGCAGCAAUGUAGCAAGGGAGACAACAGGAGUUCCUGGAGAGGGAUGGCUUCGGCAUAUAGAAAUCUCAGCAGUGUUCAGAACCCAGCAGAGGGGAGAUUUAGAUUUGGAGGGUGGGGGUGAGAGGACUCUACGUAGUACUUACAAGCUUUUACCUGGGCAUAUUUUUAAAAAUUUUCUCUUGUGUGUAGAAUUAGGGGAGGAAUUGCUGGCCACGUGGGAAGUUUAUCAUUCUCAAGACCUGCUGCACUCUUUUCCCAACUGGCUGCACUGUUUUAAAACCCCACGUGCAGAGUAUGAGCCUUCCAGUCUCCUCAUCCUCGUCCAUGGUUGUUACUAUCUGUCCUUUUAUUGCCGCCACCCUAGAAGGAUGUGACAUGUCCUUGUGAUUUUGAUUGGCAUUCCCCUGGCGAUUAAUAACUUGAGCAUCUUUUCUCA
rnacentral:lncRNA from 1 species